GACUGCCCUCAAGGAGCUUACAAUCUAGCUGGGGGUAAAAGACUUGCACAUAAACGCAACUAGACUGUGAGCUUCUAGAGGGCAGGGA
rnacentral:pre_miRNA from 1 species